rnacentral:rRNA from 1 species
UACGGAGGGGGCUAGCGUUGUUCGGAAUUACUGGGCGUAAAGCGCACGUAGGCGGCUUUGUAAGUUAGAGGUGAAAGCCCAGGGCUUAACCCUGGAAUUGCCUUUAAGACUGCAUCGCUAGAAUCGUGGAGAGGUGAGUGGAAUUCCGAGUGUAGAGGUGAAAUUCGUAGAUAUUCGGAAGAACACCAGUGGCGAAGGCGACUCACUGGACACGUAUUGACGCUGAGGUGGACGAAAGCGUGGGGAGCAAACAGG